rnacentral:rRNA from 1 species
UACGUAGGGGGGCAAGCGUUGUCCGGAUUUAUUGGGCGUAAAGAGCGUGUAGGCGGCCAGGUAGGUCCGUUGUGAAAACUCGAGGCUCAACCUCGAGACGUCGAGUGAAACCAUCUGGCUAGAGUCCGGAAGAGGAGAGUGGAAUUCCUGGUGUAGCGGUGAAAUGCGCAGAUAUCAGGAAGAACACCCGUGCGAAGGCGCUCUCUGGGACGGUACUGACGCUGAGACGCGAAAGCGUGGGGAGCGAACAGG